UACGAAGGGGGCUAGCGUUGUUCGGAAUUAUUGGGCGUAAAGCGCGCGCAGGCGGUCCUUUAAGUCUGAUGUGAAAGCCCACGGCUCAACCGUGGAGGGUCAUUGGAAACUGGGGGACUUGAGUGCAGAAGAGGAAAGUGGAAUUCCAAGUGUAGCGGUGAAAUGCGUAGAGAUUUGGAGGAACACCAGUGGCGAAGGCGACUUUCUGGUCUGUAACUGACGCUGAGGCGCGAAAGCGUGGGGAGCAAACAGG
rnacentral:rRNA from 1 species